UAUUCGAUUCUUUAAGGCUAUUAUCAGCCCUUUUACUCAUUCCUUAGUUCUUCAACAACCAAAGGAAUGAGAGAUUUCAUUUACUGCUGCCAAACUUCGAACAUCUAUCUCCUCAUUAAAUUCAAUGGCAACAAACAGCCACCAACAACAAGCAAUUACAGGUCAAGCGCGAGAGUAAGAACUACACAAGGAGUUAGAGUACCUUAGCAAAACUUUGCUAUCAGGUUGAGCUGUGAUGGGCGAUGAAGUGUUGCUGAAUGGAGUUUUUGUCGAACUUAAAGUAGGCUCAGAAAGGAUACAUGUCUUCAUACAUGUAUCUCAGUUAUGCAUUCCGCUGUAAACACUGAUUAUUUCAGUUACACCUUCCGUUACAAACUCUGAUAAUGUUUUAGCCAAGCCCCUAAAAAUGCCUUUUUCCUUUUAAGGAAUAUAACGCGUAUACAAGUUCUUUGAGUACCCUUUUUAUGCGAACUAUGCCUUUUUCCUUUUUAAGGAAUAUUUCACGCGUAUUCAA